CUUGAUUUAGAGGAAGUAAAAGUCGUAACAAGGUUUCUGUAGGUGAACCUGCAGAAGGAUCAUUAGUGAAGAUUUGGGCAGGCCAUACGGACGCCAAAAAGUGUCCCUGGCCGCCUACACCCACUAUACAUCCACAAACCCGUGUGCACUGUCUUGGAGAAAGGCUUCAGAGAAGUUUUUUGUGGCCUCUCUUGGGGUCUUUCUUCGCUACAAACUCGAAUGGUUAGUAUGAACGUGGAACUUGGUUCGACCGUCACUGGCCAACAAACUAUACACAACUUUCGACAACGGAUCUCUUGGUUCUCC
rnacentral:misc_RNA from 1 species